CACGUGAAUACUGCUCUAAUGCCAUUACACUGUAGGAUCUGUGGCAGUUCGAGGGCAUGCGACAAUAAAAAAAACCCAUACAGCCAUCAGCAAGUCUUAGCUUGAGCAGAUCUUUGGGAGCUGGGCAAGACCCUCACAAAAAAAAAAAAGCUUGGCACCCCUCUUACAGGCAUUGUCAACUCUGGGUCCCACCGCUGACUGUACAUUUCCGGUAAAAAAAAAAUCACACCGGAACUCCUCUCGGAUUUGUCUAAGUGUGCGUAAGCAUUGUGACUCUUCCUCAUCUACACGCAGUCCGUGUCGUUAUCAAUGUUAUGAGCCUUGAGCCGACAAGUAUAAGCGACAGCGCUGCGGCGACACGAGCUGCUCUGGUCGGCGGCGCAAGCAAAGUACUGCAGGUGGCGGGGCCAGCCGCGCUGGUGACGUUCCGUUCGUUUUGAGCUGUUAUCGCUCUUUAGCCCUCCUCAUCCGCGUCGAACCAUUAUCAACCGUUCUCCGGCGGCGGCUGCUUGUGGCACGGCCGCGCGAACCGUAUCUUGAAAGCGAACUGCAUUGUGGACAGAGUGUGCCCACUGCUGAAACCUUCCCGCGCUGUGUUCGCACCGUUUACUUCGCUUUGAAAACAGACGCGCGUACACCUAUCUUGAAAGUGUUCUGCGAAAAGCGCAUAGUGCGGCAUGAGCUGAGAGCUUCGUGAGCGCAGUAUUCUCGCCGCUUCGGUCGCGUUGAAGCGAGAGCUAGCACGAAGGUGAAUUCACUCGCUGUUGCGGGUUCUAUUUUGAAACGUAUCGUGUGGUACGGACUGACGGACGGAUGUUUUUUCUUGUUGGAGAAGUAUAGAAAUGCUUACGUUAUAAAAAAAAUCGCAGGGUUCGCGAAUUUCGCGAUAAGAACCAACACCAACCCACUCCUCGGCGCCCCGCGGAGCGAUGCCGUCUUGAUCGCCCCCUCCCAACCCCGGGAAAAGGGACACUACCUAUCUCAGUUGAAGAAACGAUGAUGAAACGUUAACGACAAGAACGGCAUCUCCUAACGAGUUGUCUUAUGGCCUCUGAGAUUUGCGCGCGCAGCUGGCGCGCGCGAACCUGGGAGGCCCUAAUUGGCCGCUUAAUAGCAUAAAAAGACAAAGAUAAUGCCAAAUGACACAGUUAAAAAUUCAAACAAAUAACUGAUCUUAAUUAUACUGUUUGGGAAAAAGAAAUAAAAAAUUAGACAGCCGCAACACACGCCACUAAAGCCACCACCGCCGGCAUAACGCGGAACCAACAGUUGGCAACAUUCAUUCGCGCGUCAUUGCUUCGUUCGCUUCGUCUUCGCAACGAGAGCCGCCAUCUUCUCGCGCCUAACGUUUUGUAUGGCUUUGUUCUCUGCAAUCCGCGCACGCAGCUCAUCGGUGGAUGCACGUCUUCUCGGCGUCGCAAUGCGGCCUGCGUCAUUUUUUGGUGUUCGCGCAAUCGGUGUGAAGCAUGUCGCAUGUGAAAUGUUUGGUAGAAGUGCCUCACGUCCAAGUCAAGCCGCCGUACGGGUGUAUGGCUGUGCGCCCUGUUCUCGGAAGCGUCAACGGCUUUCCGGCAUGCGGAUUUCAGCGUUUGGACUCGACUUUUGGUGAGGAUGUCGAUCGACCUUGGGCCUGGUGACAGCACACCCGACAUCGCCAAAGUGCAGCCUAUCAGUUGAGUGCCCCCGAAUGGACCAUCAACAUCGGAAAAUGAAGCAGAGCCAGGGGGGAAAGGUUCCGGUAACACCAUGCAUUCAGUAUGGUGGCCCAGAUGUGUAUGCAAGCAACCUCCUUCAUGUGGACCAAGAACUACUCUACAGUGUCUCGCAGACUUCCAUGCGAAGCCCUCAACAUUCUCGUCUCAGUGGAAUGGCUGCUCAUCUAUCUGCGUGUCCAUCACCAAGACGGCCAGUUGUAAAGCUCCUGUACCCGUUUAAGAAAGCUUAAUGAUUUUUUUAUUUAGUUUUCACGGUUGGCCGUAGAAUCUUAACAUUUUUGAUGUUUCUAACAUUUUUACUUGGCACAAAGUGGUGCAAUAACUGUAAACCAGUGUAAUGUAUUUAAGUGAUGCUCACUCUAAUGCCUACCUGGUUUUCUUUGUUUUUAAGAAAUUUGAAUGUCUGAUGAGGUAACGGCAUUUGAAUUUGUCAUCGUGGCUCGUUUCAAUGAGCUGUUUGGAAAUAAGACGCAAAGCUUAUCACACGCCA